UGAUGCCAGGGUCAAAAGGUCUAAGCCCACAUGAGCUUGCUCAUAGGUGGGUGAAAGACCUUAGGACCCGCCCCGAUAUGAGCAUAAAAAUGGGGCGUAAGCACCAUGAUAUGCGAAUAGCGGGUAGGAUUGUGGGAGUGCGUAGCACGAAACAAUCCGUAGGCAUCA
rnacentral:sRNA from 21 species